rnacentral:ncRNA from 2 species
AAUUAAACCUGAUCGAACGGAUGCCAUUUUUCAUGGCAGAGGUAGAGCAGGAAUAAAU